rnacentral:lncRNA from 1 species
UGGGGAGAGGGAGAAGGGGAGAGGGUGAUGGGGAGAAGGUGAUAGUGAGAGGGCACUGGAGAGAGGGAGGAAGGAUGCUUCCUGGCAUUUCCUGAGGAGGUCAGGGACUCCGAGCUCUCCCCAAACAUUCCCUGUCUCUUUCCCUCAUUCAUAGCCCUGGAGACACGAAUGUCUCUCAAACAGUCGGGAAAGGAAUAAUUGCUGUAGACUCAGUAGAAAAGGAAAAAAACUAGAAAACUAGAAGAAGUGAACAAAGGAAGGAGAUAGAGGUGAGAGAGAGGGAGUUUCUUCCAUGAGAACCAUAGCCAUGGCGGCUCGGUCACUUGGCGUCAGAAGGUAGCACAGCAGCCUGGGGCAGAGGAGCCACCAGCUCCUUUAUGGAACAUGGAAGGCUUUAUGACCUUAAAGGUUAGAGAGGGGCUGCCAAAGGGCACCCUGAAGGGAGAUUUAGGGCCAAGGAUGGAGGGAAGUCUGAGAUCAGCCUGGCACAAAUCUGCCUGGUCCCAGUGCUUCUUCAGUUGAGCUCUGGGCCUUGCGUCCAGUCACGCUUUGCAGGGAGGGUGUCUGACAUCUCUCAGAAGCCUGGCCAUAUCCAGAUAUCUGAGGCCUGACAAUAGGAUGCAGACUAGGCCUUGGAUUAGGGGUAAGGCUGUGGUCCCUGCUCCUCUGCUGACUCGCUGAAUGACCUUGAAAAAGUCAAGUUAUCUCUUGGUCUCAGAUUCCCCAAGUGCAAAAUAAAAGGGGGCCAAUAUUCAGAAUCAGAGAUGUAAAUGGAUGUGAAUGGGCUUUGUAUGGAAAAAGAAACUAAGCCUGUGGAGAGGGUUAUUACCACUUCUGAGGCUGAGGCAGGACAGAGAUGCUGUUAAGCUGUGGGUGCAGGAGCUGCCUAGGAGGGAGCUCAAUCCCUCCCUCCCCGCGGCCUCCCUCAGUCCUGAUUGACAGGACUGAUGCUGACGCCCAGGCCCAGUAGUAAUGGCGUUGAGGUCUGCAGUCCCCUUCCUCUGGUGCCCACCCCCAGAGGACAAGGAAGUGUGAAUUAUCUUAAAGAAGGCUCAUGGGUUUUUGUUUUGUUUUUGUUUUUUUUUGAGAUAGAGUUUUGCUCUGUCACC